rnacentral:rRNA from 1 species
UACGUAGGGGGCAAGCGUUGUCCGGAUUUAUUGGGCGUAAAGAGCGUGUAGGCGGCCAGGUAGGUCCGUUGUGAAAACUCGAGGCUCAACCUCGAGACGCCGAUGGAAACCAUCUGGCUAGAGUCCGGAAGAGGAGAGUGGAAUUCCUGGUGUAGCGGUGAAAUGCGCAGAUAUCAGGAAGAACACCCGUGGCUAAGGCGGCUCUCUAGUACGGUACUGACGCUGAGGCACGAAGGCCAGGGGAGCAAACGGG